rnacentral:rRNA from 1 species
UACAGAGGGGGCAAGCGUUGUUCGGAAUUACUGGGCGUAAAGGGCGCGUAGGCGGCCGCCUAAGUCAGACGUGAAAUCCCUCGGCUCAACCGGGGAACUGCGUCUGAUACUGGGUGGCUUGAAUCCGGGAGAGGGAUGCGGAAUUCCAGGUGUAGCGGUGAAAUGCGUAGAUAUCUGGAGGAACACCGGUGGCGAAGGCGGCAUCCUGGACCGGCAUUGACGCUGAGGUGCGAAAGCCAGGGGAGCAAACGGG